UGACAGGGUCCUAAGGUGGAGGGUUGGGGAUAAGAAGACAAAGAAAAUAGGCAACUCGGGACAGAGGGUCCUGCUCAAACUGAUGAUAUUAGAAGCGGACCACCAUCUUGUAUACAGUUUUUAGGGGAGAAAUGGGAGGAAGUCAGCAGACAUCUACCAUGGUGGAACCAUCAGCAGGAAGCUAACCAGGUGAUGUUGCCCAAGGGGAGCAGGCCAUCAAGUGUGUCACAGACGGAGCACACAACAGCCUUAGACUGAGAAUCCAGCCUCACCAAGGGAAAAAGCCAAGUUCCCGGAAAGUAAAACUGUAACUCCUUGGGGCCCCAACCCCAAAAUGGGCCUUGUCAAGUUCGUCUCCCCCUUACUCCCAUUCCCCCCCCCCUCGCAAGGACAGAGCUGGCUUCCUUUUGUCUUCUCAUCAGAACCUCUGAGAAUGCCUUGGAUGGGCCUGGUCUCAACAGCUAAGAUUCCUGCUCGCUUGCUAGAAUACUUCCUCCUACAGUCUGGGUCUACAGUGAAGGGCUGCCUUGAGCCCCAGAAGAAACUUGGACUUUGGAUUUUAAAACAGUGUUGAGACUGAGAAAGACUGUCGGGACUUUUGAAAUCGGACUAAAUGCACUUUACAUUUUGAUAAGGCCAUGAGACCAUGGAGGUGAGGGAGCAGAAGGCAAUGAUGUGAAUGAGAUGUCUCCCAUAAUUCUACAUGCCUGUGUACUCUUCAUGAAAACAUGAAAACACACAGGGUUUUUGGUGUGUCUUCAUUUCUGAAAACUCUCAUGUCAUAGAAAACUUUUUCUGGGCUGGCAAGAUGGCUCAGCAG